rnacentral:lncRNA from 1 species
GACCCCUAAUUGCAAGGAUCAAAUACAUAUUUAAGCCUAGAUUCUAAUCCUAACAUAUCGACUAAAGCCCUCAGAACAAACAAAGCAGUGACGCUCUCUAUUAACUUAAGCAUGUUUAUUAUAAUGCUAUAGAUUCUAUAUCCUAAUUCCUAACAUAUUCACUAAAUCCCUCAGAACAAAGCAGUUACAUUCUCUAUUAAGCAAGUUGGGCGUCAGAAACUUGCAUGCACCAACUCCAGGAAGUUCUUGUAAAAAAAAAAAAACUCCAUGAAGGCGAUGAAGAUAGUGUACCAUAACUUCCUAUAUUUGUCUUUGUUAAAUCCAAUUAUAUCACUAAAGACUAAGCUGUGAUUAGAAAAUUGAUCUGGGUGUGAUCUGUAGAUAUAUUUUGAAUUUGCUAUCUUAGGAUUAUUGUUAGCGUCAUAUUAGGAGCAUUAUGUGGAGAUAUUGGAUUCUAAGACUUGUAUAAAUGUGUAUUUGAUCAGUGAAAGACAUCAAUCACUUACAUUUUUACGAUAUAUAUAUAUUAUAAACCAUGGUAUUAAGCUAUACCUUUGUUGUUGAACGACUCAAUACUAGAUGUUUUACUCCAGAGAGAGUCUCGAGGAGCUUGAGUAAAGUGAAGGCAUAAGCAGAAUCACCGGGGGAAGGAAAAACAUCAAGAGACGCUUCCACCACGUUUUCCAAACUGCCAACAUUGCUGAACGUGAUUUCGGAAAUGUUGAGGUACUCAAGACCAGGUGCAUUCAUUUCAAGGGAAGCCCCAAUGUCGCCGUUACCAAGGACUAUUUUCAACCACUUCAAUGUAGAUGGCACGCGAAUUAUGUCGUAUUCCUCGGCAUUAAAGUAAAGAUUCAAAGUUUCUAAGAUAGGGAAGCCAGACAGGAGGGCAUUCAUGGAACGCACGUCCACAUAACCGAUAUCGAGAUGCAGCUUCUUUAGUGACGGUAAACGAAUCCCCUUAGCACGUUUCAAGUCAAAGUAUACUGCUCCGUCCAGACUGAACUACAUGUUAAUUCUUAUUAUGUUAGCACCACAUCACAUUAUUAAAAUAAAAAAAAUCAAAUUAGAUAGAAAUAAAAAGAGGCGAUAGUCACUUUGGUCCUG